rnacentral:piRNA from 1 species
UAGAUGGAUGAUGGGCUCAGUGGCCGAUGGA